rnacentral:rRNA from 1 species
UGGGGAAUCUUGGACAAUGGGGGCAACCCUGAUCCAGCCAUGCCGCGUGAGUGAUGAAGGCCUUAGGGUCGUAAAGCUCUUUCGCCUGUGAAGAUAAUGACGGUAGCAGGUAAAGAAACCCCGGCUAACUCCGUGCCAGCAGCCGCGGUAAUACGGAGGGGGUUAGCGUUGUUCGGAAUUACUGGGCGUAAAGCGCACGUAGGCGGACCAGAAAGUUGGGGGUGAAAUCCCGGGGGCUCAACCCCGGAACUGCCUCCAAAACUAUUGGUCUAGAGUUCGAGAGAGGUGAGUGGAAUUCCAAGUGUAGAGGUGAAAUUCGUAGAUAUUUGGAGGAACACCAGUGGCGAAGGCGGCUCACUGGCUCGAUACUGACGCUGAGGUGCGAAAGUGUGGGGAGCAAACAGGAUUAGAUACCCUGGUAGUCCACACCGUAAAACGAUGAAUGCCAGUCG